CAAAGGAGUGCUUCGGCUGAGAUCGCUAUUUUGCGAAAUCCUCGAACCUGAUCUAGGUAAGACUAGCGUAGGGAUUGUGUUUUA
rnacentral:ncRNA from 1 species